rnacentral:misc_RNA from 1 species
AUUAGUCUAUAAAUACCUAUGUAACUUCUGUAUUUUCUGGUUAGAUUGGUUAUUAGAGAAUUAAAUAAAUUGAGAGCCUUUGAGUGUGUUCUAUUGAUUCUACAUCAAUUGACUAAAUGGGAAUCAUUUCAGCUUGUUUGAAUAAGAUGCCAAAUUUUGAAGGGAUUAUAAAACAGACAUGAAUACUCACAAAAAGAGGAAUUAAGAUAAAUUUGACAGUGCAGUUGACAUCAUCAAAGAUACCCAUUCUAGCCUGGUCUUCAUUAGCAAUCAAUAUAAGAUAUUUAUUAGCCUCAAGAAAG